GAAGAAGCAAAGUGAUGAGUAAUACUUGCAUGAGCCAAAGUGAGUGAGCUGUGUGUGUGUGCAGUUGUGUGACGGGUGUUUGAGAGAGUUGCGUGCCUUAUAAUUAGGCGGUGAUAGCUAAACUGAUAAGAUCUGAUUGCUUC
rfam:Phalacrocorax carbo contig61962, whole genome shotgun sequence.